rnacentral:rRNA from 1 species
GAUGAACGCUGGCGGCGUGCCUAAUACAUGCAAGUCGAGCGAACAGAUGAGGAGCUUGCUCCUCUGACGUUAGCGGCGGACGGGUGAGUAACACGUGGAUAACCUACCUAUAAGACUGGGAUAACUUCGGGAAACCGGAGCUAAUACCGGAUAAUAUAUUGAACCGCAUGGUUCAAUAGUGAAAGACGGUUUUGCUGUCACUUAUAGAUGGAUCCGCGCCGCAUUAGCUAGUUGGUAAGGUAACGGCUUACCAAGGCAACGAUGCGUAGCCGACCUGAGAGGGUGAUCGGCCACACUGGAAGUGAGACAGGGUCCAGACUCCUACGGGAGGCAGCAGUAGGGAAUCUUCCGCGAUGGGCGAAAGCCUGACGGAGCAACGCCGCGGGAGUGAUGAAGGUCUUCGGAUCGUAAAACUCUGUUAUUAGGGAAGAACAAAUGUGUAAGUAACUAUGCACGUCUUGACGGUACCUAAACAGAAAGCCACGGCUAACUACGUG